AUGACCACAUCAUGUUCAAACACAUGUUCUCAUAUGAUCAUUGAAGUUAAGCAAUGUUGAGCCUGGUCAGUACCUAGAUGGGUGUCUGCUUGAAAAUACCAGGUGCUGUAAG
rnacentral:rRNA from 1 species